rnacentral:lncRNA from 1 species
UAGUACACAUUUCCAAGCCCUGGUUUGAAUAAAAAGUAUGCAUACAUCAAAUAUUACGUAACACAGUAUUGAAGGUUAUUCCAAGAUUUCAAUAUGGGGAGGAAUCUUCCAGGAUUAUAGUCUCUCAACCUGCAAUGUUAAAGAUGCUCGAUGCACAACCACCCCAGCAGUCUCAACCGGUCCAAACUGAAUCCAUCGAGUUCAGCACCUGAACUCAUAUAUCACACAGAUGCCUCAUGCUGUCAAUGUGUGUCAUUUGGAAACAUAAUUAAAGGUAAUGUUUCUUAAUUUAACGCAAUUAACCAGCAAACAAGCCCUUUACUUAGCAUGUAGUGCUGCGCUUAGAAAACUACAAAAAAAAAAAGAUGGAGUAGUUUAAGAUGAGAUGGUUUGCUAAGAAAUCACUUUCAUGGUGGAAGUGUCCAGAAAAAGUGUAUAUUUUAAUUCAAUUCAACAGACCUAAAGCAUAACACCCAUUGCUUGCUAUUGCUCUCAUGACUAUAAUACCUUUACUAUACAUUUGGCAAUCAGAAGCAGUGCUGAGGGGUGAAUGAAGUUGAACGUUUUUAACAAAGAAGGACACUGGGGGACUGGAGAGGCUUCAGGUCGGGGAUUCUGGUCGGCGGCAGGGAGCGAUUAAGUUAACGUGCCCAUGCAUUUUUGUGGGUUAUCACAGCCCCGUUCUUGCGUUUGACAGGAAGAGAGAGAGAGCCACAAACAGGAAGGAGAGGAAUGUGCUUCCUGUUGGCUGAUGGUGCUGGACAGGGCAGAUUCCUUCGUACCAUCGUCGGCUGCACUCGCCUCCUACCCCGCGUGGAUGUUUUUCCACUGGAAUCGGAGAGUACCAGGCCGGGGGGAACUGGAGGGGGAGAUAAGGACCAGAUAGCCAGAAAGUCCUGUAAUGCACCCAAGUGGUUCCCCAGGUCUCCUAAGUUCGUGGUCAAGGCAGGACUUGCCACCGAACAGCAACAGUUACUUAGGAUAUGAAAUUAACAUUGCAUGCCCUUGCGAGCUUCCUGAUUCAAUCACUGUCCCGAUGAUGAAAUAGGAUUUCUCUCGUACGUCACAAGGCUUCGGGAUGAGUCACACGCUCAUUGAUGGAUAUACCUGAAAUCUGGCCAGAAAAUCAUGGAGCUCGUACAAAGGGAAAGUCAUUGUACGCCGUUUUAAUGAUAUUCCAAUAAAAAGAGUCAUUGGUAAACA